CAUGCUGCACGCGGCAAUCGGCGAUCCGAUCGGCGGCCUCAACGCCGCUGCCGCGCUGCUGCUUGGCUUCAUGCAUCAGCGGAGCACCGGCCAGGGCCAGCACAUCGAUCUCAGCCAAGUGGAAUGCAUGCUGCCAAUGGUGGCGCCGUCGAUCCUCGAACAGUCGGCAACCGGCAGCACAAGCCCGCGGAUCGGUAACC
rnacentral:misc_RNA from 1 species